AUUAAAGAAAAGAGUGUAUACAUUUUGGACACUUUUUAGAUGAUUAUGGAUGUUUUUACAUUUUUAGUACUUCUAUGGAUACGUUUUGAUAUUUCCCUCUGGCAACACUCGCCACUAAGCCAAGACUUCUGGGCGCCUAGUUCAACAUGCCGGGUAUAUCGCAUCCCUGCGUUAUUUGCAAAAGGGGAAAGGAUACACAUCCACAUUUUCAUUUUCAUCGGUUUCCAAAGGACGGAGAUAGGUAACUUAAGUAUUUAACCUCUUGUGAGUUACAGUGCAAAUGUGCAAUUAUAUAUUGAAAUACAUUUCAAAUCUGAUGUAAUAUCACUCAUGACGCUCCAUCAACGUCUAUGACGUCACGAUUAACUUUUGGACCCAGCCAAUAGAUGGCGCUAUUAUUAAGGUGUCUGGCAACAACACCGUACAAACAUCUCACAUAGUUUAGUUGAACCUUUCCUGUCUUGGGGGGAGCAUCUGCCGCAGCCACAGUGUUUGUAAACAACCUCUGGUAGGAGAGCACCUGUCACCUGUGCUUAUAAUUAUGGCCAAUUACCACGUUAUUUGUGUAUGGAAAAUAAUAUAUCCAGGAGAUAAGUACUGUCGCCCCAAGUGGUCACCAAGAGAUGCACGAGACUCUUAUUUGAUUGAAAAUGGCCAGACUGGUGCAUGCUCUAUGGCACCUCAGUUACCCAGAGAGAUUAGAACACCUACAGCUUAUAUGGUACUUUAGACAGGCAAGAGGUGACUUAAUUGAGGUUUAUAAACAUCUCAGAGGACAUUCUGGAACCAGUACUUGCCAUCAGUGUGUAACAGAGAUGUGACCUCCAGCCCAAGCAAAGAGGAUAAAAGUAAAAGUUAAGAACAAGACUUUACAAAAUUGAACUGCACUAUUACAGCUGAAAAUGACCUCUACUACCACCACCACCACCACCACAGCAUCACCAUGGCACCACUACCACCAUAACACCACUACCACCACCACUAUUACCUAUGGCAAGGUGAAUUAAAGACUAAACCUUAACUAACAACUCGUGCAUGGAGAAACUGCAGUCACAGUGCAGGGCAGCACGGCACAGCAGUCGUGGGCAGCACAGCAUACAGGCUGCAGGGCAGCACGGCGUACAGGCUGCAGGGCAGCACGGC